UCGGAUUCGAAACCCGUUAAGAGUUUUCCUUUUCGUUUUUGCCCUAAAGGCGUGAGAUCGUGGUUGGUUGUACUAUCUGAAUAUUGUAUUUUCUUUUUUGUUUUGAUAGUAAAGUUUUCUCCUUCCUUGCCCAUGGUUUUUUUUUUGAAAAGAAUUUUUCACAUAAAUCUAUGUGUUUUCUUUUGUUUCUACUUGUGGUUUAUUUAUUUUGUGUUCACCAUUUCAUUUCUGUUUGUGCAUUUGUCGUAACAGUACUUAACAUCAUUUACUU
rnacentral:lncRNA from 1 species